AACGAACGCUGGCGGCAGGCUUAACACAUGCAAGUCGAACGGGUGUAGCAAUACAUCAGUGGCAGACGGGUGAGUAACACGUGGGAACCUUCCUAGGGGUACGGAACAACUCAGGGAAACUUGAGCUAAUACCGUAUACGUCCGUAAGGAGAAAGAUUCAUCGCCCCUAGACGGGCCCGCGUCGGAUUAGGUAGUUGGUGGGGUAACGGCCUACCAAGCCUACGAUCCGUAGCUGAUCUGAGAGGANGAUCAGCCACACUGGGACUGAGACACGGCCCAGACUCCUACGGGAGGCAGCAGUGGGGAAUCUUGGACAAUGGGCGCAAGCCUGAUCCAGCCAUGCCGCGUGAGUGAAGAAGGCCUUAGGGUUGUAAAGCUCUUUUACCAGGGACGAUAAUGACGGUACCUGGAGAAUAAGCCCC
rnacentral:rRNA from 1 species